UCCCUGAAGGACUAGUGGUUAGGCUUCGGCACUCUAACUGCUGCGGCCCUGGUUCGAUUCCCAGCUAGGAAA